GUCAUUCUCAACUGUGAAGAAAUGGGACGGGAACUGGAAAUUAGUAUAGUGACAAAAGCAACCGACAGCUGAAGACUCACACCUCGUCUUCUCAUCUAUAAGAUGCGGAGCAGUGCAUUGUGGGAUUGUUAGCAGACAGUAAUGGACACUACUGACUGCUCCAUCAGAGAGUGAACACACACACACACACACACACACACACACACACACACAGUCAGCUUCAUAUCAGCCACACCCGAGCUGCACACACCCACGCACAUACAGAAGGAUUUAUGACCAUGAGUCACCAGCGUCUCUGAACCAAAGGGAUUCCUGUGUGUGUGUGUGUGUGUGUGCGUGUGUGUAUGUGUGUGUGCUCUGUGUAGCCCACAGCUAACUCAUUGAAACCAUGGCAACAUCGCCCAAAGCAUCAUGGGAACUGUAGUUCCAGACCAGCCCAAGGUGAUUCGUUGGGAAAGAGGAAACUCACCUGACCAGACGUUUGAAGCUGAACCGACCUCGGAGCCUGAACGGUAUCUGAGCCGCACGCAGACGGGGAUAAUCCCAGCUGAGCUGCUGACCUCGACACAAAACCGGGGGGGGGGGGGGGGGUCCUAUAGACUGCACUGUGUGUGUGUUGGUGAAAUUUAGGUUAAAGGGUUGUUGUCGUUCUGUUCCACUCUGCUUCACACGAACAGCCGACACAGAAACACAAACUAUCAGCACUUCGAACACACUGAACUCUUUACUAACUGUUCUUCAGUGAGUCAGAAAGAAGUCAGCUGACCUCUGCAGCCGCUGCUCGCCUCUGCUGCAGGCUACAAAACCGACAACCUGAUGGGACCUUCGCUCGGGGCAGCAGACGAAGGCGACUGUUUGUUUGGACCGCAGGGUGGAAACAGGUUCGGUGACAUCAUCACGUGAUGCUGCAGGAUCACAGCGAGCUGUUCGCACACGCUCAGUGAGAGUCCGACUCACUGAAGCAGAAACAUGCCGACAGACAGAGAUCAGCUGCAGAUAACUUCUGUCUUUCUGCCAGGACAAAGAGCAGCUGAGCGGAGAGAUAACGCUGUCAUCAUCCUGACAGAGGACAAGUGAAGGCGGAGGAUCUGUUCAGGUCUGAGGUCGAGAUCAUCUGUCGCUGAAUACCAGAGCACAAAGACCUGAACCAGAUCUUAUCGACUCAUCGGGUCUGAAAUCUGCAGCCUCCCUCUCAUCUCAGUGAUUCUCAGGAAUGUUUAGUUUUUACAGUCAGAUCUGAAUCAUGUGUCCUAAAUCCAACAAACUUCCACUGUGAGUUAUCUCAUUUCUUCAGAGUUUAAAGUCCUUCAGAUAUUGAGAAAUAUAAAUCAUUAUAAACUGA